UGGUCACAGCCCCUUAUUUCUCUUAUAAUCAUUUGCCAUUGUUAGGAUUUCGUUGAUUGCAAGCCCUUCUUCUCUAUUUCUUGUUGUUUACCGCAAUUAGGGUUUAGUCGAUUGUAGUCCAGUCGGUCGUAGCCCUCUUUCUUCCAUCUGUUGUGGCUCCUCUUCUCUUAUCUUCUGUCGAUUGCUGCUCCUCCUCUACUCAGUCAUUUCUGGUUGUAAUCCUCUUCUUUAGUUUGUGGUUGUUUGAAGAUCUGGGUGUUAUGUUCUCCACCUGGCUUGUGGUAAACUUCAGUGGGUCCUUGCUUCUAUCGGGACUGGUAGUAUCAGGUUUUCCAGGUUUCUUUUCUCUAUCUAUCUCUCAAUUGUUGCAGCCUUUGGUUCUUUAUUGGUUUGUGUGUCCUUGCUUCACUAUUAGUGUGAAUUUAAGUGUGAUUGACUUAAAAAAAAAAAAAACUAGCAGAUUUGUCACAAAAAAACAAUAAUAAUAAAUAAAUAAGUUGCAGACUUUCUUUUGCUCAACCAAAAACAAGUUCAGUAUGCCUUUGCUUAUUUCAUCAUAAGUUGCAAGCCAUUACAUCAACGGCUCCACACGUAGACCCACUAAUUCUAAAGUCAUGGGCUGUCAGUUGGCUCUUCACACAUGGGAUAGGGAGAAUGCCAAAGUCCUCACAUGGCUGCACAAUUCGAGAGAGCUUGACCCAGCCCUACCUUCCGUCCUUUCUACUCCAUUGUUUUUAUCCAUCACACAACAAAGGGAAGGCCUACCUCACACUUCCACGUUUGCAGAAUUCUAAUUUUUCAUUGAGUAAUGUUAGAGAUUCCAAAUAUUCUACCAAAAAUUUUACCAAAUGUCUCACAUGGGUGUAGGACUCACACAAUGUGGGUCCCAUGUGUAUCUCACACCCAUGUGAGACAUUUGGUAAAACUUUUAGUAAAAUUUUUAGGGCCUCUAGCAUUUUUGUUUUUCAUUUCCUAUAAAAACCAUAAUUUCUCUCUUGAAAUCCCUUUCUCAAACUAAUGGUGAUUCAUCACAUUUUUCUUCAACUAAGGCAGAAAACUCAACCACAAACCCACAUUCCUCUCCUUCUACCCACGCUUUUUGUUGAUUGCACAAGUAGGGACAGCCCCAACAAUAUGCUUUUGGGGCUGAUUUUAAAUGGGUUUUACGGCUGAAAUUGCAAUAAGAGUACAGGGGAUAAGUAGGGUUUCUCUAGGUAAUAAAUGUGUAAGAGUUUAAGCACGAAAGUAUGCGUUUUUGACACUGUUUAGGGUCUUUAAACAUUAAUCAUGAACAGUGUUUUGGCUGUUAAAGUGUUCAAAUUUAAGAAAGAAAGAAAAGAGAGGAAGAAGAAGAUAGGUUUUAGGAAUCACUCCUAGCGGUCUUAGGCAUCACAAUUAGGGUUUGAUUAUAUCACACAAUUUAUAAGAAAGUUUCUAAAUUUUGAAAAUUCAAUAAAUUCAGCUCUAUUGAAUUAAAAGAAUUACAUGACUUUAUAUAGACUCUACAGACUUCCUUAACCAACUAAGAUUGCAAAAUAGGAAAUUAAUGAACUUUGACUUUCAAAACCAAUUUAAGACUAAAUAAAAAAUUAAUUAAAUAACUUUGACCCAUAAGACGACUCAUGGGCUACCUUCACAAUUCAUAUUUAGAAAUUCUCUAAAUUACCAAAAUAACCCUAAUCUUAAAAAUCCCUAGAACAUAUAAAAAUAAUUAUAAAAUAAGACUAUUAACACUAUCAACUCUGUUACAUAGCUUGAAAGAAUGUACCUCGAGAGUGGCUCGAAUUUGGUUUUCUAUCCACUGUGGCGUGUGCUGAAAUUAUGUGACAAUGCUACGUAACUCAAAUUUUGUGGCUCAAAAGUGGCUCAAAUGGCCAAAACGACGUCGUUUUGAGUACAGAACAACAUAAAAAUGGCCAAAACGACUCGUUUUGGCCAUUUGAGCCACUUUUGAGCCACAAAAUUUGAGCUACGAGACAUUUUCCGAAAUUAUGUCCCACACCCAGACAUUCCAUUUGAAAAACAAGAGCUAAAAAAAAAAAAAAAAAAAGACAAGAACAAAGAUCAAAGAGAGAGAAGCACCGUCUCAUUCGUAACCUAGCGGAACAGUGAGAGGAGUGAUCUGGAUCCUGUUGCUGUCGUGGGUGCCGCAAGCUGCUAUUGUGUGUGCCACAAAGGUCCCGCCGCUGUUUGAUCUGAGUGGAAGAGAAGGAGCCUUGCUCUGUCGUCCAUUGUGGAAGAAGAGGAGUCUUCUCUGUUUGAGUUGCAGAAAUUUUGCUGUCCAUAGCCAUGUUUUCAUGCGAACUAGCAGAACUAUUUGGGAGUCUAUUUUUUUUUUUUUGAUGACCGAGUGUCCGGGCCAGCACCCCUUCGGAGUGACGCACCUCGACUAAUCUCGGAGGUAAGUAGCCUGGGGGAAGCCGUGUACCCUUUUCAAACUGCUGCAGGAAAGGUGCUCCAGAUGAGAGUAACUAUUUGGGAGUCUAUGAAGGCCAAUAUUGGAGGAUUGGUGCAUGUGGCUUCUCUAUCAGGGUUGAUUCCCCCCAUGUGCACUCGAGCUAGAGAUCUGACACCAGGAUUGCUAAUUUGAACAAUUGUGCUUCAAGAACAACUCCAAAUUCAGAGACCAAGAGAAAGAAGGUUGCUAGCAUGUCUUGUGAUUUCUUGGGUGUUGUUUUGUUGGUGGAUCAUUAGUGGUGCUGACCAGUGACACUGAAAAUGAGAAAUGGAUUUAGAAAUUGAUGUGAAUUGAGCAUAUGUAUGGGGUUUUGGGGAUAUGAAAGGGACUGAAGCUAUGUUUUGUAAUGGAGGUGAAGUAGCGCAUUGUAAUGGGGGUGAAACUUAGAUUUGUAAUGUUAUGUUGUUUUGUGAAAUGAGAAUGAAGCUCUGUUUUGUUUA